rnacentral:rRNA from 1 species
AGAGUUUGAUCCUGGCUCAGGAUGAACGCUGGCGGCGUGCUUAACACAUGCAAGUCGAACGGAACCUUAGGGUUUAGUGGCAAACGGGUGAGUAACGCGUAGGUAAUCUGCCUUAUGGAUGGGGACAACAGUUCGAAAGGACUGCUAAUACCGAAUGUUGUAAGUUUUUCGCAUGAAAGAUUUACUAAAGAUUUAUCGCCAUAAGAGGAGCCUGCGUCCGAUUAGGUAGUUGGUGAGGUAAAGGCUUACCAAGCCUGCGAUCGGUAACCGGUCUGAGAGGAUGAACGGUCACAUUGGAACUGAGAAACGGUCCAGACUCCUACGGGAGGCAGCAGUGGGGAAUAUUCCACAAUGGGCGAAAGCCUGAUGGAGCGACGCCGCGUGAGUGAAGAAGGGUUUAGGCUCGUAAAGCUCUUUUGUCUUUGACGAAUAGACUAUUAGAUAGUAAGAGACGGUAGAAGGCGAAUAAGCCACGGCUAACUACGUGCCAGCAGCCGCGGUAAUACGUAGGUGGCAAGCGUUGUCCGGAAUUAUUGGGCGUAAAGGGAGCGCAGGCGGAAUGAUAAGUCUUACUUAAAAGUGCAGGAGUAAAGAAUGUGAUGGGUAAGAAACUGUGAUUCUUGAGAGCAGGAGAGGCAAGCGGAAUUCCUAGUGUAGCGGUGAAAUGCGUAGAUAUUAGGAGGAACACCAGUGGCGAAGGCGGCUUGCUGGACUGCAUCUGACGCUGAGGCUCGAAAGCUAGGGUAGCGAAUGGGAUUAGAUACCCCGGUAGUCCUGGCCGUAAACGAUGGGUACUAGGUGUAGGAGGUAUCGACCCCUUCUGUGCCGGAGUUAACGCAAUAAGUACCCCGCCUGGGGAGUACGGCCGCAAGGUUGAAACUCAAAGGAAUUGACGGGGGCCCGCACAAGCGGUGGAGUAUGUGGUUUAAUUCGACGCAACGCGAAGAACCUUACCAGGGCUUGACAUUGAGCGCCAUACUAAGAGAUUAGUAGUUCCCUUCGGGGACGUGAAAACAGGUGGUGCAUGGCUGUCGUCAGCUCGUGUCGUGAGAUGUUGGGUUAAGUCCCGCAACGAGCGCAACCCCUAUCCUAUGUUACCAGCACGUAAAGGUGGGGACUCAUGGGAGACUGCCAGGGACAACCUGGAGGAAGGCGGGGAUGACGUCAAGUCAUCAUGCCCCUUAUGUCCUGGGCUACACACGUACUACAAUGGUCGGCAACAGAGGGAAGCGAAGCCGCGAGGCAGAGCAAACCCCAGAAACCCGAUCUCAGUUCGGAUCGCAGGCUGCAACCCGCCUGCGUGAAGUCGGAAUCGCUAGUAAUCGCAGGUCAGCAUACUGCGGUGAAUACGUUCCCGGGCCUUGUACACACCGCCCGUCACACCACGAAAGUUGGUAACACCCGAAGCCGGUGAGGUAACCUUAUAGGAGCCAGCCGUCUAAGGUGGGGCCGAUGAUUGGGGUGAAGUCGUAACAAGGUAGC